UACGAAGGGGGCUAGCGUUGCUCGGAAUCACUGGGCGUAAAGGGUGCGUAGGCGGGUCUUUAAGUCAGGGGUGAAAUCCUGGAGCUCAACUCCAGAACUGCCUUUGAUACUGAGGAUCUUGAGUUCGGGAGAGGUGAGUGGAACUGCGAGUGUAGAGGUGAAUUCGUAGAUAUUCGCAAGAACACCAGUGGCGAAGGCGGCUCACUGGCCCGAUACUGACGCUGAGGCACGAAAGCGCGGGGAGCAAACAGG
rnacentral:rRNA from 1 species